UACGUAGGGUGCGAGCGUUAAUCGGAAUACUGGGCGUAAAGCGUGCGCAGGCGGUUCGUUGUGUCCGUCGUGAAAGCCCCGGGCUUAACCUGGGAACUGCGAUGGAAACUAGCGAGCUGGAGUGUGGCAGAGGGGGGUGGAAUUCCGCGUGUAGCAGUGAAAUGCGUAGAGAUGCGGAGGAACACCGAUGGCGAAGGCAGCCCCCCUGGGCUAACACUGACGCUCAGGCACGAAAGCGUGGGGAGCAAACAGG
rnacentral:rRNA from 1 species